UACGGGGGGGGCAAGCGUUGUUCGGAAUUACUGGGCGUAAAGGGCUCGUAGGUGGCCAACUAAGUCAGACGUGAAAUCCCCAGGCUUAACCUGGGAACUGCGUCUGAUACUGGAUGGCUUGAAUUCGGGAGAGGGAUGCAGAAUUCCAGGUGUAGCGGUGAAAUGCGUAGAUAUUGGGAAGAACACCGGUGGCGAAGGCGGCUAUCUGGCCCGUAAUUGACGCUGAGGCGCGAAAGCGUGGGGAGCAAACAGG
rnacentral:rRNA from 1 species